rnacentral:rRNA from 1 species
GACGAACGCUGGCGGCGUGCUUAACACAUGCAAGUCGAACGGAAAGGCCCUGCUUUUGUGGGGUGCUCGAGUGGCGAACGGGUGAGUAACACGUGAGUAACCUGCCCUUGACUUUGGGAUAACUUCAGGAAACUGGGGCUAAUACCGGAUAGGAGCUCCUGCUGCAUGGUGGGGGUUGGAAAGUUUCGGCGGUUGGGGAUGGACUCGCGGCUUAUCAGCUUGUUGGUGGGGUAGUGGCUUACCAAGGCUUUGACGGGUAGCCGGCCUGAGAGGGUGACCGGCCACAUGGGGACUGAGAUACGGCCCAGAGUCCUACGGGAGGCAGCAGGGGGGAAUAUUGCACAAUGGGCGGAAGCCGGAUGCAGCAACGCCGCGUGCGGGAUGACGGCCUUCGGGUUGUAAACCGCUUUCGCCUGUGACGAAGCGUGAGUGACGGUAAUGGGCAAAGAAGCACCGGCUAACUACGUG